ACAAAAGAACACACAACACAGAAAAGCUACAAGGGAACUCUCACUUAGUUAACUCCGCCACCUCCAACGGAGCUCUCAAAGCUCAAACAUUAUAUAUCUUCCCCUGCUCCCACAUUUCAAUCUCCACAGAAACCCUAACAUUCACAAUGCAAUCUUCAAUUUCUCUAUCGCUCUCUUCUCCAUCCACGAUCUGCAGAUCGGACUCAUCCGCCGCCGUUUCCAAUGUCAAUGUUAAUCUGUUGAAUCCACGAUCACUUCGAUUCUGCGGUCUUAGAAGGGAGGCUUUUGGGUUGAAUUCAUCUCUCUCUACGCAUCGUAUCCAGUCAUUAUCUAAUGCUACGAGGCGUCCUUGUUCCAACAGAAUCGUGGCUUCUUCGGCUGGAAAUGGAGCUGCUUCUAAGGGCUUUGAUUAUGAUCUGGUUAUUAUUGGAGCUGGUGUUGGUGGUCAUGGUGCUGCUCUUCAUGCCGUCGAGAAGGGUUUGAAAACUGCUAUCAUUGAAGGGGACGUCGUUGGAGGUACAUGUGUAAAUAGGGGUUGUGUUCCUUCCAAAGCCCUUCUAGCUGUGAGUGGUCGCAUGCGGGAGCUUCAG
rnacentral:misc_RNA from 1 species